AUAGGUAGACAGAACACUCCAUUCAUAAAACUCAAUUUUUUAGAAUCAUACAUGGUUUGGCACUUUUAUGAGAGUUAAAAAGAGAUGGGUACAUAAAUAUGACAACACGGUUGAGUUUCGUCUGUCUUUCUGUCAUUUCACUCCAUCAGUGGCGUGACGGUGGUGUGGUGUUUUUUUAUCAAAAAUUUUAAAAUAGUUAUUAUGUGUAUUUUAAUUUAAAUUUUAAUUUGUAAUAUACGUAGUAAUAUCGAUAAUUUACAAUGUAGGGGCUGUAGGGGCGUUUGCACCAAGUUUUUUAAGCAAAACUUAACAUUAUGUUUAGCUUAUUUUCUUGCACUAUGCUUUAAUCUAACUUGAAUUUAUAUUUAAAUUAAGCGGUCAAAUUUCCAGGCUAGUGGCCACUUAACCUAUCUUAGACACAAAAAAAUUGUUUUACGAGGAAGAAUUAUUAUUAUUCCUUGAGAGUGCUUAAAAGUGUAUUAUGAUACCUCUACGUAAGUUCGAUGAUUACUUUUGAUAUCCUAGACGUCGAUUAGUAGGUAUAUUCAUUGAAAAUGGAUUUCCUCAAGAGUGGAUGUAAGGAAAAAUCAUAUUGCCAAGAAAUGAACCUCCUUAAGUUUUUAGGACAGAGACUUUUAAACGACACUGUAAUAUAUAUCCUGGGUUUAAUUGAACAAAAUCUAGAAUAUCAAAAUGAGAGAAACAACAGCAUAACUGCCUUAAAUCAACAACAAUUUUAUAGUAUAUUUGGGUUUCCUGGGAUUAUAGGGAUAGUUGAUGGAACACAAUGUAAGAAAACAUUCACCUGGGGGUAUUGAUGGAGAGGCAUUUAGAAAUAGAAAAGCAUUAUUUUCCCCAACAUUUAAAUUACUGGAAAUGCUAGUCUUAAAACUAUAGACUCGAUUGCUUGUUGGCAUGGGUCUGUGCAUGAAGCCACCAUUUUUGGACAUUAAGGACCCGUUUGGAGACUGGUGACUUUUCAAAUUAAAUUCUGCUUGGUUAGUGGUCCGUAUAUUUACUUACUGUUAGAUCAUUUAUAUAAAAUAUAUUCCUUAAAUAUUUGAGUAGGUAUUCAAUUUAGAAAUAUAUUACGAAUAAGAUGAAUUGAAAGAAAUUUUUUAAAAUUAAAUGUGAUAAUAUUCAAAGGGUUCAUAUACUCUAUUAAAUUAUUUUAUUAUCUGUUAUAAGGUGAGAUUGCAUAUGAAUUGAGGGGAUAUAUGCAGAAAUAGAGCUGAAGAAAUGUUUCAGAAUUAUCGUUAUAUGGAAACGCCACUUUCCAAUAUGUUUUAUGGUAUAAGACCAAAAUUACAAAACACAAUGUCAGUUAUUGUUGCACAACAAUUUUGUUGUUUCAAUGUGCUACACAAUACAGCCAGAAUGAUGCCUGAACAAGAGCUGCCGCCGUUAGAUGAAAUAAAUAUGGACCAAAUUAAUAAGAAGAGAAAUAAUAAAUUAUUUUGAAAGA